UGCCAGCCGCCGCGGUAAUACGGGGGGGACUAACGUUGUUCGGAUUUACUGGGCGUAAAGGGCGCGUAGGCGGACUUUCAAGUCGGAUGUGAAAUCCACAGGCUUAACUUGUGGCUUGCAUUCGAUACUGUUGGUCUUGAGUAUAUCAGAGGAAAGCGGAAUUCCAGGUGUAGCGGUGAAAUGCGUAGAUAUCUGGAAGAACACCAGUAGCGAAGGCGGCUUUCUGGGGUAAUACUGACGCUGAAGCGCGAAGGCUAGGGGAGCAAACAGGAUUAGAUA
rnacentral:rRNA from 1 species